UAGUCCACGCCGUAAACGAUGAUUACUCGUUGCUGGCGAUACACAGUCAGUGACCAAGCGAAAGUGAUAAGUAAUCCACCUGGGGAGUACGAUCGCAAGAUUGAAACUCAAAGGAAUUGACGGGGGCCCGCACAAGCAGUGGAGCAUGUGGUUUAAUUCGAUGAUACGCGAGGAACCUUACCAGGGCUUAAAUGUACUUUGACCGCUCGAGAAAUCGAGUUUCUUUUCGAAGCAGAGUACAAGGUGCUGCAUGGUUGUCGUCAGCUCGUGCCGUGAGGUGUCGGGUUAAGUCCCAUAACGAGCGCAACCCCUAUCUUUAGUUGCCAGCGAGUAAUGUCGGGGACUCUAAAGAAACUGCCCGCGCAAGCGUGGAGGAAGGUGGGGAUGACGUCAAAUCAUCACGGCCCUUACGUCCUGGGCCACACACGUGCUACAAUGGUAGAUACAGAGGGCAGCCACUUGGUGACAAGGAGCGAAUCUCUAAAGUCUAUCUCAGUUCGGAUUG
rnacentral:rRNA from 1 species